ACCUACUUUAAUGCAAUAGCAUAAGAAAGUGUUAAAUAUAUUUAAAUAUGGACUUUUAUGAGUAACUUUAUUCCAGUUUAAAGUCUUAAAUAUAUACGAAAUUAUAAUUUAGAUAGUUUACUAAUUUAGGUAAAUUAGGUGCCAGCAACCGCGGUCAUACCUAAGAGAUAAACUUUCUUUAAGAAGUAGUUAACAGUGCCAUUUAAAAUAUUUGAAUAUAUAGUGAAAUAUUAUUUAAAAUCAAACUCUAACUAAAUUUCAUGUUUAAAUAAACCAUAAUUAAAACUAGGAUUAGAUACCCUAUUAUUUUGGUCCUAAAAUUUAACUACUAAGGAGUAAUACCCCUUUAAACUUAAAUGUUAUGGCGGCUAAACAAAACAAUUAGGGGAACUUACCAUGUAAUUGAUAGCCACCAAGCGAAAAUCACUUACUUUUAUAAUUUGUAUACCAUUGUCUUCAUAAGUCUCUCAAAGAGGCUUAUAAAUAUAUUAACCUAUAAAAAGACAAAUCAAGGUGCAGUUCAUAAGUAAGAAUUAAGGUGAGUUACAAUAAUAAUUACAUUCGGAAAUGAGCUAUGAAAUAACUCAAUAAGAUGGACUUAAAAGUAUUAUACAAAUAUAAUUUUUAGUGUAAAAAUAUGUAUUGGUUAGUGUA
rnacentral:rRNA from 1 species